AUUGAACGCUGGCGGCAUGCCUUACACAUGCAAGUCGAACGGCAGCGCGGGGCAACCUGGCGGCGAGUGGCGAACGGGUGAGUAACAUAUCGGAACAUACCCUAGAGUGGGGAUAACGUAGCGAAAGUUACGCUAAUACCGCAUACGCACUAAGGUGGAAAGUGGGGGAUCUUCGGACCUCAUGCUCAUGGAGUGGCCGAUAUCUGAUUAGCUAGUUGGUGAGGUAAAGGCUCACCAAGGCGACGAUCAGUAGCUGGUUUGAGAGAACGACCAGCCANACUGGAACUGAGACACGGUCCAGACUCCUACGGGAGGCAGCAGUGGGGAAUUUUGGACAAUGGGCGCAAGCCUGAUCCAGCAAUGCCGCGUGCAGGAUGAAGGCCU
rnacentral:rRNA from 1 species